AUGCCUAACACAUGCAAGUCGAACGAAGUCUUCGGACUUAGUGGCGCACGGGUGCGUAACGCGUGGGAAUCUGCCUUUGGGUUCGGAAUAACAGUGAGAAAUUACUGCUAAUACCGGAUGAUGUCUUCGGACCAAAGAUUUAUCGCCCAAAGAUGAGCCCGCGUAAGAUUAGCUAGUUGGUGAGGUAAAGGCUCACCAAGGCGACGAUCUUUAGCUGGUCUGAGAGGAUGAUCAGCCACACUGGGACUGAGACACGGCCCAGACUCC
rnacentral:rRNA from 1 species